GCUUAACACAUGCAAGUCGAGCGGUAACAUGACUAGUAGCAAUACUAGUUGAUGACGAGCGGCGGACGGGUGAGUAACACGUAGGAACUUGCCCAGUAGUGGGGGACAACCAAGGGAAACUUUGGCUAAUACCGCAUAUUCUCGAGAGAGGAAAGCUGCCGAAAGGUGGCGCUAUUGGAGAGGCCUGCGUCCGAUUAGCUAGUUGGUAGGGUAAAAGCCUACCAAGGCGAGGAUCGGUAACUGGUCUGAGAGGACGACCAGUCACACUGGGACUGAGACACGGCCCAGACUCCUACGGGAGGCAGCAGUGGGGAAUCUUGGACAAUGGGGGCAACCCUGAUCCAGCGAUGCCGCGUGAGUGAAGAAGGCCUUCGGGUCGUAAAGCUCUUUAGGCUGGGAAGAAGGUUGGUAGUUUAAGAGAUAAUCAAUUUGACUGUACCAGCAGAAUAAGCACCGGCAAACUCUGUGCCAGCAGCCGCAGUAA
rnacentral:rRNA from 1 species